rnacentral:rRNA from 1 species
AGAGUUUGAUCCUGGCUCAGGACGAACGCUGGCGGCGUGCUUAACACAUGCAAGUCGAACGGUGAAGCCUUCGGGUGGAUCAGUGGCGAACGGGUGAGUAACACGUGGGCAAUCUGCCCUGCACUCUGGGACAAGCCCUGGAAACGGGGUCUAAUACCGGAUAAUACCUUCUCCUGCAUGGGGGAGGGUUGAAAGCUCCGGCGGUGCAGGAUGAGCCCGCGGCCUAUCAGCUUGUUGGUGGGGUAAUGGCCUACCAAGGCGACGACGGGUAGCCGGCCUGAGAGGGCGACCGGCCACACUGGGACUGAGACACGGCCCAGACUCCUACGGGAGGCAGCAGUGGGGAAUAUUGCACAAUGGGCGAAAGCCUGAUGCAGCGACGCCGCGUGAGGGAUGACGGCCUUCGGGUUGUAAACCUCUUUCAGCAGGGAAGAAGCGCAAGUGACGGUACCUGCAGAAGAAGCACCGGCUAACUACGUGCCAGCAGCCGCGGUAAUACGUAGGGUGCGAGCGUUGUCCGGAAUUAUUGGGCGUAAAGAGCUCGUAGGCGGUCUGUCGCGUCGGAUGUGAAAGCCCGGGGCUUAACCCCGGGUCUGCAUUCGAUACGGGCAGACUAGAGUGUGGUAGGGGAGAUCGGAAUUCCUGGUGUAGCGGUGAAAUGCGCAGAUAUCAGGAGGAACACCGGUGGCGAAGGCGGAUCUCUGGGCCAUUACUGACGCUGAGGAGCGAAAGCGUGGGGAGCGAACAGGAUUAGAUACCCUGGUAGUCCACGCCGUAAACGUUGGGAACUAGGUGUUGGCGACAUUCCACGUCGUCGGUGCCGCAGCUAACGCAUUAAGUCCCCGCCUGGGGAGUACGGCCGCAAGGCUAAAACUCAAAGGAAUUGACGG